UACGAAGGGGGCUAGCGUUGUUCGGAUUUACUGGGCGUAAAGCGCACGUAGGCGGAUCGUUAAGUCGGGGGUGAAAUCCUGGAGCUCAACUCCAGAACUGCCUUCGAUACUGGCGAUCUAGAGUCCGGAAGAGGUGAGUGGAACUCCUAGUGUAGAGGUGGAAUUCGUAGAUAUGACAUAGAACACCAAUUGCGAAGGCAGCUUACUACACAGUCAUUGACGCUGAGGCACGAAAGCGUGGGGAUCAAACAGG
rnacentral:rRNA from 1 species